GACGAACGCUGGCGGCGUGCCUAAUACAUGCAAGUCGAACGCACUGACGUCGACAGAAGGUGCUUGCACUGGAAGUUGAUUGACGUGAGUGGCGGACGGGUGAGUAACACGUGAGUAACCUGCCCUUAAGCGGGGGAUAACAUUUGGAAACAGAUGCUAAUACCGCAUAAAAGUUGAGAUCACAUGGUCUUAAUUUGAAAGACGGCCUUUGGCUGUCACUUAAGGAUGGACCCGCGGCGUAUUAGCUAGUUGGUGAGAUAAUAGCCCACCAAGGCGAUGAUACGUAGCCGACCUGAGAGGGUAACCGGCCACAUUGGGACUGAGACACGGCCCAAACUCCUACGGGAGGCAGCAGUAGGGAAUCUUCCACAAUGGACGAAAGUCUGAUGGAGCAACGCCGCGUGAGUGAAGAAGGUUUUCGGAUCGUAAAACUCUGUUGUUGGAGAAGAACAGGGACUAGAGUAACUGUUAGUCCUUUGACGGUAUCCAACCAGAAAGCCACGGCUAACUACGUGCCAGCCGCCGCCGCGG
rnacentral:rRNA from 1 species